rnacentral:lncRNA from 1 species
GGCUAAAUGAGGCCAUGAGGGUGGGGCCCUAGCUCGGUAGGACCAGUGCCCUGACAAGAAGAAGGGACGAGAGCAUGAUCUCUCCACCACGUGAGGCCCUGGGGAGAAGGCACCAGCCAGGAGGAGGGGUCCCCCCAGGAACCCGCCCUGCCAGAUGCUGAUCUGGGGCCUGCAGCCUCCAGAACUCAGCGGCCGCUCUAUGCAGCCACAUCACUGACUGCCUCCACACCCUCAGCUAGGCCUCCACCAUCCAUCCCUCUCUGAGCAGCCGGCUGCUCUCCUCUCCACCCAGGCUGUUCUGCAACUGAUCCUCCUGGAGGACGCUGCACCUCCCUGAACUCCGCACAGGACCUGCACACACGUGCUCUGGUUUAGAAAAGACAGUGGCACUGCCCAGGAAGGUCAGAGCACCUUUGGACCCAGAAGUUCUGCUCCCAGGUAUAAAUGCCAGUGAAGCGUGGGACACGGCCUAGGGUGGUGUGCUCUCGGAGCCCCAAGCUGGAAUGGGCCUGCAUGUCUCAAUGGGACAAUGGCUGAAUAUGGCCCAUCCACACAAGGAACACAAAACAGCCACCAGAAUGCAGGUACCCUGGCCACCCCCAGCAGCCGAGUGAGUCACCCAGGCAGCCAGGCCGCAAACAGGGUGCACAUUGCACUUUACGUAAAGGAGAAAAAUGGGGAAAAUGCAACGCCUCAGCUGAACGUGCCCCUGGGGAGUGAGACUAUGAGGCUGAGGAGGGACACGACUGUCACAAAGUCAGGGCACUGACAGUCACCCCAGGGAGAGGGGCUGUUGUCGGGGGGGAUACAAGUGCUUCUGGGCUGCUAGCAAUAUCCCAUCUACUGACACAGGGGGUGAAUACAGACAUCUCCACGACAUGAAUCUUUAAACUGUACACACACACAUGCACAUAUGGAUGCGUAUACACUGGGUGUCUUCUGUGUGUCUAUAUCAUAAUUUUGAAAAGGAAAAAAAAUGAGCAAUUGUCCAACAAAGUGA